rnacentral:rRNA from 1 species
UACGUAGGCAGCGAGCGUUGUUCGGAAUUACUGGGCGUAAAGAGUGUGUAGGCGGUGUUCCAAGUCUGGUGUGAAAUCUCCCGGCUCAACUGGGAGGGUGCGCCGGAAACUGGAAUGCUAGAGGGUGGGAGAGGUAAGCGGAAUUCCUGGUGUAGCGGUGAAAUGCGUAGAUAUCAGGAGGAACACCAGUGGCGAAGGCGGCUCACUGGCCCGGUACUGACGCUGAGGCACGAAAGCGUGGGGAGCAAACAGG